AGUUUCCAUUCAUCUGCUCCGGUCCAUCUGAGUGCGUCUUUGAUGAAGAAGAAGAAGACAGUGAGGAGAUGGAGGAUGACUGUGACUGUGUCUGCUGUGAUUGAGGGAAUGCUGAAGCAGCUCCAGCAGCAGCUGGAGGACCAGGCGCUGGAUGAUGACAUCACACUGAGCUGGAUGAUGACAUCACACUGAGCUGGAUGAUGACAUCACACUGAGCUGGAUUAUAAACUUAUAUUUACUCAUAUUUAAACAUAUUAAGACUGUUGGUUUAUUAAGUAUGAAUGUAUGUGUUUGGGUUGUGGGAAAUUAUAACAGGCAAUGUUUUAUUAUUUUUCACAUUUUAUAAGUAAGAUAAUAUAAAUUAGAUUUGACUGGAAUCAACUCCAGAGAAAAUACACAUUUAAACUUUAAUGUUGUGUUGAAUCAUUCAAAUCUACUUUAAUGAGUCAAAACAUCUUUCUUCAUUUGAGUUAAUAUAUUGCAAAAAGUUCUGGAUUAAUAUGAAUAUUUAAUGCUUUUCUUUGUCAUAUAUGGUCAUAAGCUUAUAUUUACUUAUAUUUAAAGGUGUUGGUUUAUUAAAACAAGACAUUUGAAUGUGUGUGUGCUGUGGGGAUUUAUAACAGAGAUGUUUCAUUAUUUUCUGACAUUUUAUUGAUAAGAUUUAUACGAUUAGAUUACACAUAUUCUUUAUGAUGAGAUCAGAUAUUUGGUUCCUUUAAUUUCAUAUGUUUUGGUUUAGAAAUUAAAGUGUCACUGCAAUGACAUUUUAUUUAGUUUUUAAUGAAAUAAAAUUUCUAACAAAGUAAUGUGGUGAAAAUGUAUGAUGAAAUAACAUAAUAAUGUCUGCAAUGACUUUAAUAAAUUUCUUUAAUUAUUUCACAAAUUGUUGCUUUAUUUAUAUUUGUCACAAUUGACUUGUGUGAUGAUUUAUUUGGUAUUUUAUAAUAGAGAUAAUAGAGAAGACUUUCCAUAAUACUGCUGAUUUUUAACACUAAAUGGCCUCUGUGAUCUAUAAUAUUUUUAUAAAGUUUCAUCAUCUCUGAAUGUUUUUUUUGGCUUUAUUAAGGGUUAUAAUAGUUUACUGCCUGUGCCUGCUGUUUAGGAAGGAUUUUACAUUAUUCUCUCACCACUUAAAUAAAAUGCAUGUUAGUAAUAAAGGAAGAAAGAUUUGUGUGUAAUAAUUCUUGUGGAUACAAAAGGUCCAAAAA